CGGGCGUCUUAACAUGCAAGUCGAGCGGCAGGCAGCAAUGCCGAGAGCGGCGGACUGGUGAGUAACACGUGGAUAACGUACCCCGAUGUCUGGGACAGCCUGUAGAAAUAGAGGGUAAUACCGGAUAGAUCACUGUUUACGUGAGGUAGACAGCGGGAAAGGAGCUUCGGCUCCGCGUCGGGAACGGUCUGCGGCCCAUCAGCUAGACGGCGGGGUAAGUGCCCGCCGUGGCGAGGACGGGUAUCCGGCCUGAGAGGGCGGACGGACACAUUGGGACUGAGAUACGGCCCAGACUCCUACGGGAGGCAGCAGUGUAAGAAUAUUCCGCAAUGGGGGGAACCCUGACGGAGCGACGCCGCGUGAACGAAGAAGGCCGGAAGGUUGUAAAGUUCUUUUCUGUUCGAGGAAUAAGUUUCGGAGGAAAUGCCGGGGCGGUGACGGUAGGGCAGGAAUAAGCACGGCUAAUACGU
rnacentral:rRNA from 1 species